rnacentral:rRNA from 1 species
UACGUAGGGGUCGAGCGUUGUCCGGAGUUACUGGGCGUAAAGCGCGCGCAGGCGGCUCGUCAAGCCUGACGUGAAAGCCCCCGGCUCAACCGGGGAGGGUCGUCGGGGACUGGCGGGCUUGAGGUCGGCAGGGGUUGGUGGAAUUCCCGGUGUAGUGGUGAAAUGCGUAGAGAUCGGGAGGAACACCCGUGGCGAAGGCGGCCAACUGGGCCGGACCUGACGCUGAGGCGCGAAGGCGUGGGGAGCGAACGGG